GGGGGAAGUUGAAUCUUAGGUUCUCUUUGUCCCUGUAAUAGAUCAGACUAGAGAUGAAUCCCAUCCUAGCACAUACAAACAACACAUACAAACGAAUAUCAAGCCUUCUACCACACUUCAACAUCAUCAUACAAUCUAUCUAUCAUACAAAGCUUAAGCAAACCAGAACCUACCUAGACACCAAAGCGAAUGAAAGGCUUGAUGUAAAAGAAAAAUCACUACUUUUUAAAGGCGCUCACAACCACGACACCACCAACAUAACACCAUGACAACCACCAAACGGACAAUGAGGAGAGCUUUGAGAGAAGGAAUAGGAAGUGAGACAAAGAAAAGCAAAUGAGGAAGGAGGAAAGGAGGGGAGGAGGGGAGGAGGGGAGGAGAAGAACUCAGAGAGUAAAAAGGGGGGUGUAGGGUUUGGGAAUAUGAAAUGCGACAGUGAGGAGAAAAGAAUGAGUGGUGUAGACUUUUAAUUAUUUGAUGGGUCAAUUAAAAAAAUUAACAGUCAAAGAUUCUCUGACAGGAGCACAAAUGUAAAAAAAAAAUAGAGAAGUGUAGGGUGAGACAAGUGAGGUAUAGGAAGGAGCACUCCUCUGCAAAAAAAAAAAAAAAAAAUACAAAGAGAGAGAGACUUAUCUCUUAUUGCCACCCAUGGUGCUAAGAUUGAAGGAAAGGAAAAAGGUUUUUAAGGGUAACCCUCUGCCCAUGCACGUAUCUACAGUGUAACGAGUGGAAGAAUAAAGUUACACAAAGAAUGAGAAAGCAAGGCAGAACACAAUUUCUCUCUCCCAAUUUCUCUUUCCACAUGCAUUGAUUCACUAAUGGAACAUAUAUAAUUGUUCCUCAUUUCUCUCUCUCUCUCUCGUGAUCAAAGUGUCAAAGAAGGAAAAGAAAACAUCUCAACGUGAGUUGCAUUAAACCAAGGAGAACUUUUAUUUGUGUGCAGGCCUGAUGGGUGUCGCACCCCAUGCAAAAUUUAAUGCGCAUAAAACAAUGAAGUAUAGACUAGGAAGUGACUCCUAGGUCGCCUCUCAAGGACCAAAUGUGGUUCGAGAAUUAGGUCAGACACGAAAUGGGGGGGGUUGUGUGAAAGGUUUGUGAAGGCAAAUGAACUAAAUUAAAACACAGAUGCAAACAUAAGUGCAAAACGGAAUCAAAAACAGAAUAAAAAUGUUUGGUCAUUAACUCAAUUACCAUGCUUCCAAUCACCGAUUAAUACACCAAAGAGACUACUCUGACCUCUAAUCCAGCACAGCUAACCGACUAAGCUAGGGUCAAUCGUGCUAUCAUAAUCACGAACUAAGCGAACGCAAUACACCUAUUCCAUCCAAUGUGUUCUAUACAGAUUGAUCAACUAAGCAAAGAUGCAAUCACCAUUGGAUUACUAAGCGUAUACCCGUUGCAAGAACACGGUUAGAUUUCAUAGAAUGCCAGGCAGAGCAGAAUAAACACAAGAACAGUUCAAUAAAUCUCAAGGAAGCAAUGCAAUAUCACUAAUGACCAACCCGAAUAGCCUAAGCUAACAUCACAACUAAAUUAACACAAUCGGACAAAAUAGACAACAUUAAAGCAAGAGAAAACAUUAAACUGAACACUACAGCAAAUAAAUCUCCAAACAUAAUUUAAAACUAUUAAAAUGCAAUAGUAAAUUAAGCAAAUGAAAAACAACCCAAAAUGCAAUUUAAAAUAUUUUAAAGCAAAGAAAAAUAAGAAGACAUAAAUUUAUCUAACACCUUAGGUGACCAUUUGUGCAUCUAUCAAAAGGAGUUGAAUUUUCAAAUGGCCUAAACAUCCUCUUGGU
rnacentral:lncRNA from 1 species